rnacentral:rRNA from 1 species
GACGAACGCUGGCGGCGUGCUUAACACAUGCAAGUCGAACGGAGUGGCGAACGGGUGAGUAACACGUGGGUGAUCUGCCUUGCACUUCGGGAUAAGCUUGGGAAACUGGGUCUAAUACCGGAUAGUGCAAGAUGAGCUCGCGGCCUAUCAGCUUGUUGGUGGGGUAAUGGCCUACCAAGGCGUCGACGGGUAGCCGGCCUGAGAGGGGGUACGGCCACAUGGGGACUGAGGUACGGCCCAGACUCCUACGGGGGGCAGCAGGGGGGAAUAUUGCGCAAUGGGCGGGAGCCUGAGGCAGCGACGCCGGGUGGGGGAAGAAGGCCUGCGGGUUGGAAACUCCUUUCGACAGGGAAGCGGUACCUGUAGAAGAAGCACCGGCUAACUACGUGCCAGCAGCCGCGGUAAUUC